AUCGCGCUCUAGGUCCUCCGUUUCGGGGCCGACCAGAACCAGCAUCACCGGAGAGGGCGUGUAUGCAGGGACGACUGCGGCGGCACUCCAAGACCUACCCUGCUGCGGCCACGCUCCAUAACCUCCAGGGCCGACGCGAACCAGCAUUACCUCCUGCUUGUCUCCAAAUAAGAGACAGAACCCACCAGUAACAUCAUCAUCACACAUAACCUGUCGGAAGUCCGUGGCAGCAAAUGGAGACCGAGACUCAGCGGCCGGUCGGCGGUAGUAGAUGGAGAGCAGAGCAACCUAGGGCUGUCGACGGUAGCAGAUGGAGGGCGGAGCGGCCUGUCUCGCCAGCAGAUUGAGACAGAGUGGCCCUUCGGUGGCGGUACAUGGAGACGGAGCAUCAAUUAGCACACGAUCGUUAAGGAGGCUUCUUGAACAAUCCAGUAAGAUUGAGACAGUACAUAGGUACUACAACAAAAGAUUUAUACAUUAAAAAAAUCACUAAAAGUAAAAUAUAAAAUAAAAAGUACCUCGAAGGUACUAAAUAAAGUAAAAGACCAUAUAUAUAAGCUUCUAGUACACUACGUCCGCUACCCAGGCAACCGUUAAGUUAUACGCUCAUACAGCGACGGUUGAGCUCUCCACACAAGUGUCCUACUAAGUAUAGUACCAACUUGUACGUGUUAGAACGGACGAUUUAGAUCUAUUGGUAUUCGAUAAAUAAGGUUUACUUACGAAUAAAACUGGAAUGAUCGGAGUGCUCAGUGCUGACUAAGGUUUAAACAAACACUCCAACAUACGGUUCCUAUAAUCUAGUAUCUGUAAACGAUAAAAAUACAAAACAUAGGACGGAGAGGUGACAUAGUACAUAGUACAUAAGGCAUAGUACAUCCAUUGAACAAGAUAUAGUUGUUUUCAAUGAACGAUAUUUUAUCUGACAUAUAUAGUACAUAUAUCAAAGAAUAUGGGAUUUGAUUUUAAUACACCAAGAGAUAUACAUCCUAGAACAAGGAACACAAGAAGACAGUAAACUGUUACUCGUCUAUAAUUAGAUGUCUCCGUCACUGACCAUGAGAUCUAUGAGUCGGAGGCUGAGAGUGAGGUUUUCAAGUUUUCUUAUUAGACCGUCGCAGUAGACGAAACUCAUCGAUUCCGUAGUAGAUUACAAGUGUUACUCGGUAUGUGUUCCGUCGUCAUUUACCCUUUUGUACAUACGAAUGUAGUUAUGGUGUCACGUUAAAAACCAAAUUUUUUUGACGUUAAGUCCUACCCACUAAUCUUCUCGACCUUCCCUUCCGCGUUCUUGUACUAUUCCAACAACGUGUUCUUCUCUUCUAUUUCCUCUAGUUCUAACAACAUCUCUUCUAAUAGACAAAAUUGAACACCGGUAAUUUUCGACAUCUCUUCUACUACGUAAAUAUAAUCUAAGUUCACUCUAAUAAGUCUAAACGUCUUUAUCACGUCUCCUAGCACAUUGCGAUUUAAUAGGCACAACAACGACGAAUAGGAACUUCUUCGAACACCAAUUCUUAACCUGAGCCGAGGUUCCUCCGUUGGAAAAGAAACAAAACAAU
rnacentral:rRNA from 1 species